AUUGAAGCAGUGUGACUGGUACCGUGGUUCAGAGAAGGUGUGUGAGCUCGUGCUCCCGGCCAUCCCUUUACAGUGUAAGAAGGUCGCCUCUCACUGCCUUAAACGUUGUGUGGGUGGAGGCAUGGGCGUGUUGUCAUGGUGAGGGCUACUUGACCCCGCCUCAAUACACCCACAUCUGCACCCACACUCUCACACGCCACACCCACAGACAUGCCUGCUCGCCUCGCGCCAGGGGGAGAUAGAACGGCCACGCGACUUCGGACAUAAGGUUGUGAGUGACGCAGGGACACAGUCAUUAAGUGAGGCGAGACGGGAGUCCUCGGAAACCACAUCUGCUGGCUCCGGAAAGAUGGUGAGGUUUGGAGCAGAAUGAAGCUUCAGGAAGUUACAGGAGGAGGGGAUGAUGAUGGCACUUCCUUCUCUGUGUUUGGCGGCCUGAAGGUGACGGCCGGUCUGCUCUGUGGGCCGCGUGGCGUUGCUGGCUCGGCACAUGGAGGGGGAGGGCAGCCGGUCCUCGUGCUUCGCUCUCACAGCCACCUCCUAGUAGUAGCAGAGGAUGAAGGUAGCCAUCCCUGGCCGAGCCAUGAAAAUGGAAGAGUUACCGCACGGUGCGCACCUCACCCCGAUACUCAAACCUGCCAAAAUUCCAUUCAACAACAUCGAGAUCCGCCCUCCCAUUGACUACCUGAGCCUCAAGGCAGACGCGGAGGGCGGGGCACGUGGCCUGGACAGUACAUCGUUGCUGCCGCUUCCUAGUACCUCCAACAACAACAAUAAUAACAAUACUAACAUUAACACCAAGGGAUGGAAGAAGACUGCCAGGUUAUACAGGAAAGAACUUAAGGCCAAAGGCAACAUAAGGCCCUCGACUGCAGUUCGCCGCCACGUGAAGAAAAUAUCCGAGGAGUUUACACUGACGCAGGUGAAGUACGAGAAUGCUGUCAGCACGGAAGGGAAGGACAAGAAUCAAGGACGGUCGUCAUCCUCCUCCUCUUCAUCCGUGGCCAACAACAACAAGACUCUAGCCAAGAACGUUUCCUCCAAGAUCACCUGCACGAAAUGCGAAUCUGCGUCCAAGCCAUCCUCCAAAACCAUGGUGGCGCCCCUCAUCUCUGCCAUCCCUGCCUCCUCCUCCAAACCCUCCGCGACCAAGGGUCCCACCGGCCGCAGCAAGUCGGGACCACCAAGAGAGUCAGGAUCGCCAAUUAAGAAGAUACCGUCCUCCCUCACUCCUCCAGCUCGCCCCAAGCAUGCCUCAGGUGGGCGCUGUGUUGGAGGCGGAGAGUGCGUUGGUCUCGCGCCUCCCACUAGCCCCGCCCCUCACAGGUCCCCGGGAAGAAGGGCCUCCUCCCUGACAGGUGUGUCGCCUCGCUCCAAGCCGGUGUCCUUUGAGCAAAUUAAAAAGGUCAAGAUGUUCACCGAGAAAGCAAUCUUGGAAGGCCGCGUGUUCUCAAUCUUCGGCUACUUCCCCGCCAUCAGGGACGCGCUACGCCGGCGAGGUUGGGUGGAGAAGAUGCAGCACAAUGUCCCGUACCUCAACCCUCACCCCAACAACUGUGUGUGUCCGCACGUUGGUUACCAGGCCUCCUUCCUCCCGCCCGCCCCCGCACACCACGCCCACGCCUCCUCCCAGUCCACAGCCGCGCCCCAGAACCCUCCCACCCUUGCUGUGCCUGCUGCUGCUAAAAGUGUGAAGCAGGAGGAGGAGAAAGGAGAGGAAGAGGCAGCGAAAGACGAGGGUGUGAAGGAAAGUGCUGAGGAAAACGAGAGUUGCACCACCACCACCACCACCACGCCCGGCACUCCGCCUCCCGCCUCACAACCUUGUACCAAUUCAUCCUCAUUACCAUCACCACCAUCACCACCACUACCACCAACAGCACCACCAUCGUGUUCACCACCACCGCCACCGUCACCAGCCUCAACACCAUUACCAGUGUCCCCAUCACCACCCACGUCACCACCGUCAUCAGCCACACCAUCAUCAUCAUCAUCAUCAUCAUCAUCAGUAGAGUCUGAGGACCUUAAAGCCGCCACCACUGCCACUCCAGGUUCUUCCAGCAUAGAUGAAGUAGUGCCCGCGCGGACCAUCCAUCCCCCGCCCCAGGACUCACUCGCGGGGCACUCCGAUGAAAGGACCGCGAGUGUCACCCCGGAUGCGGAGGAGUCUUCCAACACUGUCGAGGGAUCUUCCGCCGCUAGCCAGGAGACCGCCGCUCAAAAGGCGGUGGACAGAAUCAACACUGCCAUACUGGGCCCGUCAGAGGUGCGCCGGGGCCUUGCCGAGUCCAUUACGGAGAGAAACGCGACAAUUUACAAGUACAACACCAAGCACGUCCCGGUGAAGAGGGCGCCGCGACCCAUACCUGCCCAUAAGGAGGAACCUAUUCCUGAAGGGACCAAAGGCGACGAGGCAACGCAGCACGCAGAGGAGCAAGGAGGGGCUGAUACUACGAGGGAGGAGGAGGAGGAGGCCCCGGCGGAGAAUGAAGAGCAGCAGGAGGAGCAGACGAAGGAGCGAGUGCCGACUCCAGAGCCGUACAACCCUUAUGUGGACUUUGUGGUGAGUGACGUGGACAUGCCGCUGGUGGCGCGUCUGCUGAGGAACGUGGAGCCCAACCUGCUGUGGACGUGGACGCGGGACUCCAUCUCCUUCAAGCACCUGAGUCGUGAGCAGGUGGUGAACCGCUUCCCCAACACUCCCUUCACCACCAAGUACGGGCUGUGCGAGACGCUGCAGCAGCUGCACUGGUUCAGCGAGGCGGCUGGAGUGGACACGUUUGUGCCGCGCGGCUACUGCAUCGGGCAUGAGGACGAGCGCACGGCUUUCAUCCACGACUACCGCCUCACCGCCUGCCUCAACAUGCUCAAGUGGCUCACGGAGCGCCACGACACUCACGGAGUCAAUGCCGUGGCCGACCCGCACGGAGAGGUGCCUAUGAAGAGAGUGCGGCAGGCACUGGGCCACGUGGAGCAGUACAUCCAGAGCUGCUGCCACGACGACCUGGAUGUGCCGCCGCCGCCCUCCCUGCGAGAGCACGAGUGGGUGUCGCUCCUCGCAGCCCACCACAAGAUUGUGCAUAACGACAGGAAAAUCAAGGUGGCCACUCCCAACCAGCUGCAGGCUUUGGUUAGGGACUGCGAGUCUGCCCUGGAGCGGGUGGUGCCCUUCUGGCCGCAGCUGGCGAUGGACGGUGUGAGGAACCUGUGGAUUGUGAAGCCCGGGGCACAGUCGAGGGGUCGCGGUAUCUUCAUGAUGAACAACUUGGAGGAGAUCUUGGCGCUGGUGCAGUCCCCGCUCAUUUACGAGACCAAGUACGUCGUCCAGAAGUACAUGGAACGCCCGCUGCUCAUCCACAACACCAAGUUCGAUAUCAGACAGUGGUUCCUUGUGACUGACUGGAAUCCCCUGCACGUGUGGGUGUACAGUUCGACCUCACCAAUAACAACGAGGCUGUCCAUCUCAGCAACAACGCCAUCCAGUGCAAGUACCUCAACGGGGAGAGGAGUGGAGAGCUGCCCGAGGAGAACAUGUGGGACGUGCACCAGUUCAAGGACUACCUCAGGGGAGUUAAGAAGGAGGGAAAAUGGGAGGAGGUGAUCUAUCCUGGGAUGCGCGACGCUCUGGUUGCCGCUAUGCUCGCUGCCCAGGUGGAGAUGGAUUCCUUCAAGCACGGAUUUGAACUGUUCGGUGCUGACUUCAUGCUGACGGAGGAUCUUAGACCGUGGCUUAUUGAGAUCAACUCGUCGCCUUGCAUGGCCGCCACCACCAGCGUGACGCGACGCAUGUGUGCCCAGUGCCUGCAGGACGUGAUCAAAG
rnacentral:misc_RNA from 1 species